UACCAGCACCCCGAGUGGUCGGGACGAUUAUUGGGCCUAAAGCAUCCGUAGCCGGUCCUGCAAGUCCUCCGUUAAAUCCACCCGCUCAACGGUUGGGCCGCGGGGGAUACUACAGGGCUAGGAGGCGGGAGAGGCAAGCGGUACUCGAUGGGUAGGGGUAAAAUCCACUGAUCCAUUGAAGACCACCAGUGGCGAAGGCGGCUUGCCAGAACGCGCUCGACGGUGAGGGAUGAAAGCUGGGGGAGCAAACCGGAUUAGAUACCCGGGUAGUCCCAGCUGUAAACGAUGCAGACUCGGUGAUGGGCUGGCUUCGUGCCAACCCGGUGCCGCAGGGAAGCCGUUAAGUCUGCCGCCUGGGGAGUACGGUCGCAAGACUGAAACUUAA
rnacentral:rRNA from 1 species